rnacentral:rRNA from 1 species
UUGAGCGCUGGCGGCAGGCCUAACACAUGCAAGUCGAACGGUAACAGGAAACAGCUUGCUGUUUCGCUGACGAGUGGCGGACGGGUGAGUAAUGUCUGGGAAACUGCCUGAUGGAGGGGGAUAACUACUGGAAACGGUAGCUAAUACCGCAUAACGUCGCAAGACCAAAGAGGGGGACCUUCGGGCCUCUUGCCAUCAGAUGUGCCCAGAUGGGAUUAGCUAGUAGGUGGGGUAACGGCUCACCUAGGCGACGAUCCCUAGCUG